rnacentral:rRNA from 1 species
AGAGUUUGAUCCAUGGCUCAGAUUGAACGCUGGCGGCAUGCCUUACACAUGCAAGUCGAACGGUAACAGGUCUUCGGAUGCUGACGAGUGGCGAACCGGGUGAGUAAUACAUCGGAACGUGCCCGAUCGUGGGGGAUAACGGAGCGAAAGCUUUGCUAAUACCGCAUACGAUCUACGGAUGAAAGCAGGGGACCGCAAGGCCUUGCGCGGACGGAGCGGCCGAUGGCAGAUUAGGUAGUUGGUGGGAUAAAAGCUUACCAAGCCGACGAUCUGUAGCUGGUCUGAGAGGACGACCAGCCACACUGGGAUUGAGACACGGCCCAGACUCCUACGGGAGGCACCAGUGGGGAAUUUUGGACAAUGGGCGAAAGCCUGAUCCAGCCAUGCCGCGUGCAGGAUGAAGGCCUUCGGGUUGUAAACUG